GGGGCUGACAAGCAGGAUGUUCCCUUGUACUGAGAGGAAACGAAAUUGAAAAUGCAAGUCUGAGCUCAUUUCUUUCUGGUGACUUGUGGGUCGCUUCAGAUGUUUGCAACCUUAUCCCAAUGCUGUGUGAAGAAAGGAGGUCAUUGAAGGAGGCCCUGGCUUAGGCGUGUCCUCUGGGAAAAUAGAGAAAGUCAAACCUCCUCCAUCCCCCACCACUGAAGGCCCCAGCUUGCAGCCUGACUUAGCCCCUGAAGAGGCUGCCGGAACCCAGCGGCCCAAGAAUCUGAUGCAGACCCUCAUGGAAGACUAUGAGACACACAAAUCUAAAAGGCGCGAGAGAAUGGAUGAUAGUAGUGUCCUCGA
rnacentral:sRNA from 1 species